GGUGUGUGUGUGGCUGGUGAGAUCUCUGUCUCUGGAGUGGCCAUUGUGUGUGUGUGAUGUGUGUUGGCCUGAGAGGGGUUGAAUAAUGCAUAGAUCAUUGGAAAGGUAUUUAUAGGAAAGCAGAGUGAUUUAAAGUUUAAUGGCAGGCUUUACCAUCAGUGCUGUACAGCAUCAUACACGCUCACUCUCUCGCUUCCGCACUCUCUCUCUCUCAAUUGUUUGUCACUCUCUUUUCCUGUCUUCAGUAUACUGGCUAGCCUGUCUCCUUCACUUCUCACAUCUCUCCAUCCCUGUCUUUACGUCUCUCCCUCUUUUCCCUGUCCGUUAGCUGUCCAGCCUGUCAUAUUGUCCUUUCUCUCUGUCAGAUGAACAGCCUCUAGAGCUGUUAGCCAUGUAAAGCCAUUGAUAUUUAAUGUGAUGUGCUGGUCUCAACCAUUCACUGGGCCGCUGAGGUCUGAUCAGUGGAAGGUAGGCUGGAACUAGAAUACUGAAAGAAGGUUCAGGACGACGCAAUGCCUAGUACAGCGUCAUACAGCGUCAUACAGCGUCAUACAGCUUCAUACAGCUUCAUACUGCCAAAUGCUCAAAGCUGAUUUGAAAUAUAUUGUGAUUCGCCCAAUAAAUCAAAGCAGUGUGUUUGGGUUUAAUCUUGUGUUUAGGUGUGUCCCAAAAGGAAUAGCGGUGACCCAAUAGGUCCUGACCUGUUGUUGGGAAACACUCAUCUGUUUCUCCAUCCCUCUCUCCACGUUUUCUUCUCUGACAGUGUUCACUCCAGCCUUCCAUACGCCUUUUCUUUUUCUCACUACCUGUCUUUCCCCUCUCUCCAUCUCUCCCUCAUGUUUACAUUGCCCCACUACCUUCCUUUCUCCUCUCUCCAUCUCCCCUCCUCUUGCUCUCUUUCCUCCCUCCCUCAAAACGUCCAUCUCUCCCCACUUUCCCCUCUUCCUCGCUCUCUGCUGUUUACAUCCUCCCCUCCUCUCACUGACUGGUGUUAUAGGGGGACAUCAGUUGUAAGCUCCUUGCCCAAAUGGCCACUGACACACACACACACACACACACACACCGACACACACCGACACACACCGACACACACCG
rnacentral:lncRNA from 1 species